AAAGAAGAGUAAACCUUGUAGAAAAUUACUGUUACUCACCAACUAAAAUGUCUUUUCUACAAAAUCCUUCUCAUCUAGAAUAGCUACUGAAGUACAAUAACUGAAUGAAGAACUGAAUUUUCUGAAACUGAAACUGCAGACCAACAGCUGCAAGAAGAGAAGGCAGUGCAACAUGCUGAACUACGUCUUCCAAAGAAAAGCACUGCCGGGCGAUCAGUAUAGCAACGAAAGUCGCCAGGGAAUCAUGGAACGACAGGUCACUCACCUUGAAGGAAAAACACUGCAAGGCUUCACAUUAACUGCACACACCAUAGCCAUGAUUAUUAAGGAAUUAACUAUCAGAAUAAACAGUUAAACGUUUACCCAGAA